GAUGAACGCUGACAGCAUGCUUAACACAUGCAAGUCAACUGUGGCGGACGGGUGAGUAACGCGUAAAGAACUUGCCUCACAGCUAGGGACAACAUUUGGAAACGAAUGCUAAUACCUGAUACUGUGAGAGAGCUUUGCGUCCCAUUAGCUAGUUGGAGAGGUAACUGCUCACCAAGGCGAUGAUGGGUAGCCGGCCUGAGAGGGUGAUCGGCCACAAGGGGACUGGGAGACGGCCCUUACGCAUACGGGAGGAAGCAGUGGGGAAUAGUGGACAAUGGACCAAAGUAUGAUCCAGCAAUUCUGGGUGAAAGAUGAAGUUUUCGGAAGGUAAAGGGCUUUCAGUUGGGAAGCGGUACCAACAGAAGAAGUGACGGCUAAAUACGUGCCAGCCGCCGCGGUAAUAC
rnacentral:rRNA from 1 species